GGUGUCUUUACUUCAGAAAGAAUGAUAUAUUUAGCAAAUGUUACAGAUAUAGGAGGUUUUAAGUGGGACUAAAUGCAGCAAUUAAUGCUAAUGAGUCUGCUGUUAGCAUGUAAUAUUCUUGGUGUUAUAAUCAUGCAUCACUGAAUGCGAAGCCUCAGUUUGUGCAACAGAUGCCGAUCUUAAUGGCUAUAUUCUCUUCCCAUGGAUAAGCUAGCUUUAGUUAAAUGAAUCAUUAAGAAUAACCAUUUAAAAUGUUAAUGAAAACAGUGAUUAUAACCACCAAGAUUUUUUUUUUAACUUCUGGCUCUAUUACUUUUUAUUUUCGAAAGGACUUUGGGAAGGUAAGAAACUUAUUGCCUGUGUAUGUUGUUUUAAACAGAGAAGGCCGAUACAGUUUCUGUUCACAGCAGCCCUGAGGCCGCAUGCCUGUAUUAUUAACACCAACCGUACUUGGAGACUAACUCUCUUUUGUUCUCAUUUGUCAUUUCUUUUAAAUAUUCAUUUAGGGUAUAAGACAGAAUUGGGUAAGUAGGAUCCUUGACAGUCCAACUAGUUGGUAAACAAAUAUUUUGUCUUCCUGAAAGUAUCAUUAUACUAUCGCAAAUUAAGACUGAAAAGGAAAAAAAUACCAGGAUGUUGAUAUUUAAGAAUAAAUACUUUAUCUUUUCAGAACAACAAUAAGAAGGCUGGUUUAGGCUUUAUCGCUGGAAAAUGGAGUUUGUGAAACAAAGAAGUAAUAGAUGCAUAGCAAGAGCUCAGUGUCCUUCCACAUUGUGUCACCGGUUGUACCCUGAGACAGAUUCUCCAAGUCUUAGAACAUGGAUAUGCAGUGAGAGUGAGGUUUACGUAGAAAAGUCUUUGUGUCUUGGGAGUGCCAUGUGUAUUGAAUGUCUAUGACUCAUGUCUCCCCUUGACUCACUUCUUGGCUGGGCUACAUGACUCAUCAGGCCUGGUAGGUUCAGGGCAGUGUAGCUGGUGGGGAAGGGCUAAGUGAAGAGGGGCUGUCUAGACCUGGGGAGCAUGGUUAUAAUGAGCUUUUUCAAACGUACAACUCAACUCUCUUGCACCUAGGAAGUAUCUUCAUCCAGAAGGAGUUCUCAGUCCUUUUUCUGAUUUUAACACUGCAGUCAACUGCAGACAAAGCCGCAAUCUUGUGACUUCACAGAGCCUCAUGGGCUUUUGAGUUGACCAACUUGAGAAAAAUUUCUGACUUGAUGCAUGAAAUGAAACGAAGGCAGGUGACACAUAAAGGAAAUGACAAGACACGAUUGAAAACUAUUGACCCUCAAGUUAUCACAAAUGGUUAUGAAAUGGAAAUGGAAUGGGAAGGAGUAUGAAAAAAUAAGCUGAAUACUGACAAACCUAAGGUUUCAGAAUCACUGGACCAUUAGACCACAUCAGCACUGGACCCAGCUAAAGGGCAGAGAUUCAGAGAUCCCCAACUGUGACUAGUUGUGCAAGAAGCAUGCAGAAUGAUGAGAAACCUACAGCUCAGAAAAGAAACAAAUCGUCUAUAUGGAAGUCCAGUCUUGCUGUGGAAAGGCUCAGAAAAACAAGACCCUUAGCAUAUCUCAGGGAACUGAAAGGCUGUGGGGAAACCAACAGCUUGCUGCAACCACAGCCACAAGUCAGGUAAGCAUUGAGCCUGACAGCUCAGGAAAAUGACCCACUUCUUGCCAACUCAGACAAAAAGGCUUCACUUAGGCCUAGGGAAACUGUCUCUAAUAAGGCCAUCUGUUAACCGUGUCGCCUGAGUCCCUCUCAGCAAUUCCUCAUUCCCUCCCUUUCCACCUUCCACCCUGAAGCCAGACAUUAAGGCAGCAGAGACUGAGUAAAAUCAAGCUGUUGGGCUCAGUAAACAUUACUGAGCUCCAUGAGGGAACACGGUCCCAUUUUUUAGGUUCCCAUGUCCAAGGCACAUUUUGAUCACAUUCAUUUAGCAGAGAGGUGAAGGAAGAAAGCAUGCUGGCUGUGCAGCAGCAUCGUGCUGCAUCCCCUUGCUUAGGCAAAGUCAUAACAGACAGCAAAAAAUAAGAACUUGGCUACAGUUCCCAAGGGUUUGAACCUGAAUACACAGAACACGAGAAACCACACAACUCAGGAAGAAAGCACUGGGCAAGUGUUCAGAGGCCUUAUUGACAAUGGGCCCGCUCUCCUAUUGACUUGAUUUGUAACACAUAAAGUCACUUAAAUCAGGGGUCCCCAGCCCCAUACUGGUCUGUGCCCUGUUAGGAACCCAGCUGCACAGCAGGAGGUAAGGGGCAGGCCUGAGCUCCACCUCCUGUCAGAUCAGCAGCAGCAUUAGAUCCUCAUAGGAGCGUGAACCCUUUUGUGAACUGCGCAUAUGAAGGAUCUAGGUUGCAUGCUUCUUAUGAGAAUCUAACUAAUACCUGAUGAUCUGAGACUCUAACUAAUACUUGAUGAUCUGAAGUUUCAUCCCAAAACCACUCCCCCUACCCCAGUUUGUGGAAAAAUCGCCUUCUAUGAAACCAGCCCCUGGUGCCAAAAAGUUUGGGGAUGGCUGACUUAAACUUCUAGCAAUGAUCUGUCAAGUCUCUUCAUCUCAUCACAUAAGUCGGCAUGUAAUAUUCACAAAAGACCAAUCCAACCUCUGAAAACGAAAUGCUCAUUUUGGGGAAGUGACUUAACUCUUCCAGCUCAUCUCUGUCCCUCUUAAUAAAAAAGGAAAAAUAAAAAUAAAUAUAAUAAAUAUUAUUUUUAAUACGUGGUUAUUCAGUCUCAGAAUAUUAUUGUACCUUAAAAUGAAAAAAGCUAAUAUAUUGAGUAUCUUUUUCACAUACUUUGGGAAUUAAAAUAACAUCUUUAAUAUUUGGAAAUGAAAGGGAAGAAAGAAAAUUUGAUAUCAACUAUAACCAGGAUCAUUUUAGUGUAAAUAUGUCAAUGGAAAUGAAAAUCCAAAAAUAGAAAUAUGCAAUAAAAAG
rnacentral:lncRNA from 10 species